rnacentral:rRNA from 1 species
UACGUAGGGGGCAAGCGUUGUCCGGAAUCAUUGGGCGUAAAGAGCGUGUAGGCGGCUCGAUAAGUCUGCUGUGAAAGUCCAGGGCUCAACCCUGGAAGGCCGGUGGAAACUGUCGGGCUAGAGUCCGGAAGAGGCGAGUGGAAUUCCCGGUGUAGCGGUGAAAUGCGCAGAUAUCAGGAAGAACACCAAUGGCGAAGGCAGCUCUCUGGGACGGUACUGACGCUGAGACGCGAAAGCGUGGGGAGCGAACAGA